UUGGUCCAGCGUCGUCCGGUUUAGGGCAGGGUUUGGCCUGGGUCCCUUGAAGCUGUCCUCUGACAACCAUCACCUCUGGAUGUUCUACUACCAACAGACCUGCAGUAAUUCAAAUCUCCUUGUCUCCAACACAGUCAAGUUGCUACUCCUCUGGAUAUCCCAUUGUUCCUCCACUGGACCUAAUUAAACACUGAGUAUGAAAUGACUUUCACGGUGUAGUUGUAGGAAAUGUAAACUGUUCUGUUCUAAUGUUGCAUUAAUAUAGAACUAUUCAUGAAAAUACUGUGUAAAAGUGUGUUUCUACGUCAUACAUUGUUUCAAGCCACUCCUUGCAACAUCUGAUGUGAGAUUCAUGUGAGAUGUAUUAUAUUUUUUAGGUUAGUAUAAGGAGUCGGUGUUAUUCCUCAAGCAUCAAUAGGGUAUAUCAUUAAUUGAAAAGACAUUUGAACAGCAGUAAAUAUAGCAGAUUGUAACUAACAUAACACUUGGCCUCCAGUUCUCCUUACUGUACCUCCCUAAAGCUGAAGUGUGCAGUAGUUGCUGAAUUCCCCAUGGAAUACACAAUGAUUGAUGAUCGAAUACUGAGGAAGUGAAGUUGUACUGAUAACAAUUAAAAGUAUAAUUUCUCAA